UCAGAUCUGGUGUGAAAGAGUCUGAUUCCAAAACCCCAUGGACCUUCCUCUGAGCUCAGACUAAACUGGACCAGUUCUGCCUCUGGUUUGGACCCAGUUCAUGUCCACAGAGAGAAGAGUCAACCCAUCGUUUGAAUGUGACAAUGAAGAGAAACUUCAACACAAUCCGCUGCCGUUGUGUCAAUCGUCUCCUGUUCCACCACACCCUCAGACCUACUGUGAACCCUGCUCCUACUUUCUGUCUGUUUUCAGUUUUGCGCAGAAGGAAGGAUUCUCAAUCAGCUCCUACAGUUACAGGAAAUGUUUUACUAUACUCUGACUUGUAUUAAUCAUUAAGCUAAACACAAACAAGCUACAC